GAUGAAGAACGUAGCGAAAUGCGAUACGUAAUGUGAAUUGCAAAUUCAGUGAAUCAUCGAGUCUUUGAACGCACAUUGCGCCCCCUGGUAUUCCGGGGGGCAUGCCUGUCCGAGCGUCAUUGCUGCCCUCAAGCACGGCUUGUGUGUUGGGCCCCGUCCUCCGAUCCCGGGGGCCGGGCCCGAAAGGCAGCGGCGGCACCGCGUCCGGUCCUCGAGCGUAUGGGGCUUUGUCACCCGCUCUGUAGGCCCGGCCGGCGCUUGCCGAUCAACCCAAAUUUUUAUCCAGGUUGACCUCGGAUCAGGUAGGGAUACCCGCUGAACUUAAGCAUAUCAAUAAGCGGAGGA
rnacentral:misc_RNA from 1 species